AUGGCGCACAGCGACCUCGAGCCACUGCGCUCUGGCGCCGCCGCGCUGCCGUCCUCCUCCGACCCCGACUCGCCGACGACCCCGCGAAGGAACCGCGUGCGCGAGCUGCUGCGGAACCUGGACCGCCGGCUCUCGAGCAGGGGGCGCCAUAACCACGUCGACAGCGGCCCGGCGUCCCCUACGGCGGCGGGAGAGGCGGGGGCGCCCAGGAGGGAGGAGGAGAGUGACGAGCUCGGCGACGGCGCGCCGCCCGAGUGGGCGCUGCUGCUCGUCGGGUGCCUCCUCGGGCUCGCUACCGGCAUCUGCGUCGCCGCGUUUAACCGCGGGGUGCAUGUCAUACAUGAAUGGGCAUGGGCAGGCACACCCACCGAGGGUGCUGCUUGGCUUCGCCUGCAGAGGCUUGCUGAUACUUGGCAUAGGAUAUUGUUAAUUCCAGUGACUGGUGGAGUUGUUGUUGGUAUGAUGCAUGGAUUGCUGGAGAUAUUUGAGCAGAUAAGGCUAUCGAUGUCAUCUCAAAGGGAAGGUAUCGAUUUCAUGAGUGCGAUUUUUCCUGCAAUCAAGGCCAUCCAAGCUGCAAUUACUUUAGGGACGGGAUGUUCAUUGGGUCCUGAAGGGCCUAGUGUUGAUAUUGGUAAGUCUUGUGCAAUUGGGUGCGCUGAAAUGAUGGAGAACAACAGGGAACGAAGGAUUGCUCUUAUUGCAGCCGGAUCAGCUGCUGGAAUUGCUUCAGGUUUUAAUGCUGCAGUUGCUGGAUGUUUUUUUGCUAUUGAAACAGUACUGAGGCCACUCCGAGCAGAGAACUCACCACCCUUUACAACUGCUAUGAUUAUUUUGGCAUCAGUUAUAUCUUCAACUGUGUCCAAUGUUUUGUUAGGGGAGAAGGCAGCUUUUAUUGUCCCGACGUAUGAACUAAAAUCUGCCGCUGAGCUUCCACUCUAUCUUAUUCUAGGCAUGCUUUGUGGGGUAGUGAGUGUGGUAUUCAGGCAACUGGUUGUUUGGUUCACAAAGACUUUCGACUUGAUAAGGAAAAAAUUUGGUCUCCCUGCUGUAGUAUGUCCGGCUUUAGGUGGUCUUGGAGCAGGUUUAAUAGCUCUAAGAUACCCUGGAAUACUGUAUUGGGGUUUCACCAAUGUAGAUGAAAUUCUACAUACCGGAAAAAGUGCUUCAGCUCCUGGGAUUUGGCUAUUAGCUCAGUUGGCUGCUGCAAAAGUUGUUGCGACUGCACUAUGCAAAGGUUCUGGUCUUGUUGGUGGCCUAUAUGCCCCAAGCUUGAUGAUUGGUGCUGCUGUUGGUGCUGUUUUUGGGGGCUCAGCGGCAGAAUUAAUAAACUCUGCCAUUCCGGGUAACACUGCUGUUGCACACCCUCAAGCUUAUGCACUUGUGGGAAUGGCUGCUACCCUAGCCUCAGUUUGUUCAGUUCCAUUGACAUCUGUACUACUACUCUUUGAACUGACAAAAGAUUACAGAAUUCUACUUCCUCUGAUGGGAGCUGUUGGUUUAGCAAUAUGGGUCCCAUCGGUUGUAAGUCACUCCAGCAACAAAGAGAUGUUUGAGGCUACAUCCCCUCGCCAUGGUUAUGCGUCACUAUUACCCCCUGCUGAUAGGAGUGAGACAGAUGGGAGACGACCAGAUGGAGAUGAUGUUGAACUAGCAAUUCUAGAAGAUGAUCUAUAUCACUAUGGUAGUAACAGUGAGGAGAUGCUUCUCGAUGAGUUGAAGGUAUCUCGAGCAAUGUCAAAGCAUUUUAUCAAGGUUACAUCUACAGCCACUAUCAAGGAGGCAACACUGCUUAUGCACGAUAAGCAGCAAGGUUGUGUUCUUGUUGUAGACAAUGAAGAUUUUCUUGAAGGGAUUGUUACAGUUGGUGACAUUCGUCGCAGAGGAUUUGAAUCAAGUGAAGAUGCUAAUGGUACUGGGGAAAAUUCAUCUGAUCUGGAUGUGAAUUCUGCUCUUGUUACAUCGUGCCUCACACGAGGGUUUCAGUACCAUGGCAAUGAAAGAGGGCUUGUGACCUGCUUUCCCGACACAGAUCUGAGCACGGCUAAGGUGCUCAUGGAAGUCAAAGGUAUCAAGCAACUUCCAGUGGUCAAAAGGGGGGCUGGUCGUAGGAAUGAUGGGCGGCGUAAAGUUCUCGGGCUUCUUCAUUACGAGUCAAUAGGACGAUGCUUAAGGAGGAGCUGGAGCGGUGGAAGGCGAUUUAUCAGAGAGAAUUCCCAGCAGCCAGCAGUUAGCUGGCAGUGA
rnacentral:rRNA from 1 species